rnacentral:snRNA from 1 species
GGCUGUGAGGGUGAUCUGGCUGCGACAUCUGUCACCCCCUUGAUCGCCAGGGUUGAUUCGGCUGAUCUGGCUGGCUAGGUGGGUGUCCCCUUCCUCCCUCACCACUCCCUGUGCGUCCCUCCCAAAGCUGCGAGUUUGGUCAAAGAGGAGACUGUGAGAAGAACCCUUAAAGGUUUUAU